GGUUAAUUAUAAGACCAUAUGUCUACUCUACAAUAUAGCAUGACUCAUUGUUGCAGUGAAGAAGUUAUAGGAAGGCAUAAACAAAAAUGUCUUAGGAUACGUUCUUCUAACACAUUAUUUAACACUUGUGGCUGCAUAAUUUAUAUUCUUGAUGAUUUUUUUAAUAUUCCACUAUAGUCCAAUGUAGUCAUUGGGAUGCAGAUUCACUGUUUUAAUCUUCCUAAUGUUCUGUGUCUUUCUCCUUCCUUAUUGAUGCAAAAGUCUGUCCUUCCUUAGAUUUCUACUAAGUUUGAAACAACUGAUAGCGCACACAGUUUCUGCCGUGAAUGCUCCUAACUCUUGAAGUCUCUUUGCUUCUAUUUAAGCAAAUGCGAGAAAAGGCUGUACCUUUGCUCUUUAGACUUCCUAAUUUUCCCCCCUUCCAUAGAGCACAAAUAUAUGUAUGAUACACUGAGAGGAGAGAGAUGGUUUGUCCUACAUGGACCUCCAAAUGUGUUGGCCCGUCAUGACCUAUAAUGAUUGAAGGUGUUAAAAGAGAACAAGGUAGAUCUAAAAUCACAUGAAAAGAAGUUGUCUCAAAAAACCUGCAAUCCUAGUGAAAUUGGUUAAGAACAUAACACAGUGGAAGCACUGGAUUCAUACAUGAUACCAAUUUGUUUGGGUUAAGGCUUAGUCGUUGUUGGAAUGCUUACAUUAGGUUCAGUUUUUGCCCAUAAUCUUUUUAGAGAUUUGUAUGUUAGAGUGAGGAGAAGCUUCUAGUUUUAGUAACUCCAUAACAACAACAAUAACCCAAUAAAAUCCCACAAAGUGGGGUCUGGGGAGGGUAGUGUGUACGCAGACCUUACCCCUACCCCGAUGGGGCAAAGAGACUGUUUCCGAUACAUCCUCGACUCAGGAAGACGGAAAUAAAACAAGAAACGACAAUUCAUCAGUAACGUCAGCAGAAACCAUAGAAAUAGUAAUAAAAGUAUAAAAACCAUAAAAUAGAUGACAUGCAAUAACAAUAACCAGUAAUGAAGGCCCGGGGCUAUGAUAAAUAGAGGGCUAUGAUAAACAGAAAGGAUAGUGUGGACUCAACAUUAACCCUUAACCGUUUAAGAUCAACCCUAUCAAACCCGCCUCACCCCCUGGUAUGAAGUAGAAAAAGCUCGACUACCCCCUAGCCUACACCUCUAAUGCUUGACCUCCAGACCUUCCUAUCAAGGGUCAUGACCUUGGAAAUCUGCAGUCGUGCUAUGUCCUGCCCGAUCACCUCACCCCAAUACUUCUUAGGUCGCCCUCUACCUCUUCUCGUACCCACCAAAGCCAACCGCUCACACCUCCUCACCGGAGCAUCAAGGCUCUCCUCUGCACGUGCCCGAACAUCUGACUCUCGCUUCCCGCAUCUUGUCAUCCACAGGGGCUACGCCCACCUUCUCCCGAAUAUCCUCAUUCCUAAUCUUAUCCGUUCUAGUGUGCCCGCACAUCCACCUCAACAUCCUCAUCUCUGCUACCUUCAUCUUCUGGAUAUGAGAGUUCUUGACCGGCUAACACUUUGUCCCAUACAACAUGGACGGUCUAACCACAACUCUAUAAAACUUACCUUUGAGUAUCGGUGACACUUUUUUGUCACACAAGACUCUAGAUGCUAGCCUCCAUUUCAUCCGGCCCCUAUAUGGUGAGUGACGUCCUCAUCGAUCUCUCUGUCCCCCUGGAUAACCGACCCAAGAUACUUGAAACUGCCUCUCUUGGGGAUGACCUGUGAUCCAAGCCUCACGUCCCUGCCUACUUCAUAAAUUAUUAAAUAUAGAGGAUCAUUGUUGACCUUAACUAGUUUGAGUUGAGGCAUAUUUGUGGUUUCAUAGAGAACUGCAUAAGACCUCCAUCCCAAAAAGAACUGCAUUCGGCCUAAAAUGUCAGCUAAUUCCUUGGUAAAUACUCUAGUUCUAAUUAAUAUAUGGUUUGUAGAAGAGUGCCUUGUCAAUUGUCAUGUGCUAAGUCAUUGGAUCUUAAUGUCUUCUUUACGGAUUGUAAUUGCAAGGAUCUGUGAUGUGCUUCAUAUUGCUUAAAACAAACAAGAAACAUGACCUACACUAUGUUAGGCAUGUUAUUCCGAAGCUUCCUUAUGCUUACCCACUUAGGCUCUCACUGUUGUUUCCAAGAGCACCUUCAGUUUUUGAUAUGCAAAUUUCCUUCCAUUUUUGUAGGGCAUCUGAAUCUGAUUUUCUGAUUUUCUGCUACAUUCUCUUCAAAGUAAAUGGAUAAACAAAAAUGUGAUUUGAAGCGCUUCUCUAAAAUGCUUAAAGUUUUAUUGUAUUCAAAUGUUGUAUACUUUUUAGCAGUUUCAUAUCGAUUCUCUUAUUAGGCGUCCGGAACCAAAAUGAUGCUAUAAACUACUUUAAUCGCGAAAAUGAGUUGCCAAAACUAAACUGAACAUUAAUAGGAUUAUUGCAGUUAAAACCGAGAUAUUUAGGCCCUAGUUCACGGAGUCCUGAAGCAAAAUAAUGCAACACGAAAAGGGGUUGUCACUAAUCUGAACAUUAAUGGGUAGCAUCAUUUUGGUUCCAGACUCCUCUUAUUAGAAUAACAAUUUGAAAAUGGCUUGUAUUCUUGCUUGAGGUGAUAAUCCUAUGCUUACUGUGUGAAUGAGGUAAUAUCUUGUUUUCUCGUUCCAUAAUAGUUCUACUUGUGAUGCCCUUUAUAGUCUAAUAGUUUUUUCCCUUCUCUCCAUUUCUCUUGAUGUGGGGGGUAUCUAGGUUCCAAAGGGGCAUGUUUGGAUUCAGGGAGAUAAUAUUUAUGCUUCCAAGGAUUCACGGCAACUCGGGCCAAUCCCUUAUGGUCUCAUCCUGGGAAAAGUGUUGUGUAGAGUAUGGCCGCCAGAGGGCUUUGGCUCGUUAAGACAAUAACAAAAACAACGCAAUGUAUCGAAGAUAUACAACUGAAAUGUGAUUCUUUACAAGUCCUUUGAUUAUUGUCUUCUUCUGUGAAGAUUUAAUUUGAAUAAUGAUUGCUAAUUCAUUGCUUCCGUUCCAAUAAUAGAAGAUCAAUGUUAGUAGCUCUUAGUAUCAUGAAUUUGUAUAGUUCGUAAUGUGUAAUUUUUAAAAACUUCUAGAUUAAAAGAAACAUUCAUGUAAAUAAUCUAAAAGUGCAGAAGGAACCAUUCACGUUUUCUAAA